rnacentral:rRNA from 1 species
UACGGAGGGGGCUAGCGUUGUUCGGAAUUACUGGGCGUAAAGCGCACGUAGGCGGCUUUGCAAGUUAGAGGUGAAAGCCCGGGGCUCAACUCCGGAAUUGCCUUUAAAACUGCAUCGCUAGAAUUGCGGAGAGGUAAGUGGAAUUCCGAGUGUAGAGGUGAAAUUCGUAGAUAUUCGGAAGAACACCAGUGGCGAAGGCGACUUACUGGACACAUAUUGACGCUGAGGCACGAAAGCGUGGGGAUCAAACAGG